CAAAGGCUUGGUCCUGACUUUACUAUCGACUCUAGCUAAAUUUACACAUGCAAGUAUCCGCAUCCCCGUGAGAAUGCCCUACAGUUCCCUGACCGGGAACAAGGAGCUGGUAUCAGGCACGCCACUGCUAGCCCACGACACCUUGCUUAGCCACACCCCCAAGGGAACUCAGCAGUGAUAAACAUUAAGCCAUAAGUGAAAACUUGACUUAGUCAAAGCUAAGAGGGCCGGUAAAACUCGUGCCAGCCACCGCGGUUAUACGAGAGGCCCAAGUUGAUAGACACCGGCGUAAAGCGUGGUUAAGAUUUUUUUUUAAAACUAAAGCCGAACACCUUCAGGGCUGUUAUACGCACCCGAAGGCAAGAAGAUCAAUCACGAAAGUGGCUUUACAACCCUGAACCCACGAAAGCUACGACACAAACUGGGAUUAGAUACCCCACUAUGCCUAGCCGUAAACAUUGGUAACAUAAUACAUUCAUUACCCGCCUGGGAACUACGAGCAUCAGCUUGAAACCCAAAGGACUUGGCGGUGCUUUAGAUCCACCUAGAGGAGCCUGUUCUGGAACCGAUAACCCCCGUUCAACCUCACCUCCCCUUGCUUUCCCCGCCUAUAUACCGCCGUCGUCAGCUUACCCUGUGAAGGUUAAAUAGUAAGCAAAAUUGGCACAGCCUAAAACGUCAGGUCGAGGUGUAGCGUAUGGGGAGGGAAGAAAUGGGCUACAUUUCCUACCACAGGAAAUACGAACGAUGCACUGAAACGUACAUCUGAAGGAGGAUUUAGCAGUAAGCAGGAAAUAGAGCGUCCCGCUGAAAUUGGCCCUGAAGCGCGCACACACCGCCCGUCACUCUCCCCAAGCCCACUGACUAUAAUAACUAAAACCUUAAAAUCGCGAAGGGGAGGCAAGUCGUAACAUGGUAAGUGUACCGGAAGGUGCACUUGGAAAAAU
rnacentral:ncRNA from 1 species